GGUUGUUUGGUUCCGGGAGUUCUUUGGACGUCAAUAACAAUGUCAUACUUGAUACACAGAUCAUAAAGAGCACUGAAGUCAAGAAUUCCAACGCCAUGGAGCUAGAAUCCAUCAAGCGUCAAUUUGCAUACCUUGAAAAUGGUGAUGUUAAGAUUACCAAGCUUGUGACUGACAGACAAAUCCAGGUUACAUCUUACAUGGCUAAGGAGAAGCCAGAAAUAGAACAUGUUUAUGAUGUUUGGCAUGUGGCCAUAGGAGAGAAAAAGAGGUUACUUA